AGAGUUUGAUCCUGGCUCAGGAUGAACGCUGGCGGCGUGCUUAACACAUGCAAGUCGAACGAACCUUCGGGUUAGUGGCGGACGGGUGAGUAACGCGUGAGAAUCUGCCCUCAGGAGGGGGAUAACGGCUGGAAACGGCCGCUAAUACCCCAUAUGCCGAGAGGUGAAAUGAAUUUCGCCUGAGGAUGAGCUCGCGUCUGAUUAGCUUGUUGGUGUGGUAAAGGCUCACCAAGGCAUCGAUCAGUAGCUGGUCUGAGAGGAUGAUCAGCCACACUGGGACUGAGACACGGCCCAGACUCCUACGGGAGGCAGCAGUGGGGAAUUUUCCGCAAUGGGCGCAAGCCUGACGGAGCAACGCCGCGUGAGGGAUGAAGGCCUCUGGGCUGUAAACCUCUUUUAUCAAGGAAGAAGAUCUGACGGUACUUGAUGAAUAAGCCACGGCUAAUUCCGUGCCAGCAGCCGCGGUAAUACGGGAGUGGCAAGCGUUAUCCGGAAUUAUUGGGCGUAAAGCGUCCGCAGGCGGUCUUGAAAGUCUGUUGUUAAAGCGUGGAGCUCAACUCCAUUUCAGCAAUGGAAACUAGAAGACUAGAGUGUGGUAGGGGCAGAGGGAAUUCCCGGUGUAGCGGUGAAAUGCGUAGAUAUCGGGAAGAACACCAGUGGCGAAGGCGCUCUGCUGGGCCAUAACUGACGCUCAUGGACGAAAGCCAGGGGAGCGAAAGGGAUUAGAUACCCCUGUAGUCCUGGCCGUAAACGAUGAACACUAGGUGUCGGGGGAAUCGACCCCCUCGGUGUCGUAGCCAACGCGUUAAGUGUUCCGCCUGGGGAGUACGCACGCAAGUGUGAAACUCAAAGGAAUUGACGGGGGCCCGCACAAGCGGUGGAGUAUGUGGUUUAAUUCGAUGCAACGCGAAGAACCUUACCAGGGUUUGACAUCCUGCGAAUCCCUUGGAAACUUGGGAGUGCCUUCGGGAGCGCAGUGACAGGUGGUGCAUGGCUGUCGUCAGCUCGUUUCGUGAGAUGUUGGGUUAAGUCCCGCAACGAGCGCAACCCACGUCUUUAGUUGCCAGCAUUAAGUUGGGCACUCUAGAGAGACUGCCGGCGAUAAACCGGAGGAAGGUGUGGAUGACGUCAAGUCAUCAUGCCCCUUACAUCCUGGGCUACACACGUACUACAAUGCUACGGACAAAGGGCAGCAAACUCGCGAGAGCUAGCAAAUCCCAUAAACCGUGGCUCAGUUCAGAUCGUAGGCUGCAACUCGCCUACGUGAAGGAGGAAUCGCUAGUAAUCGCAGGUCAGCAUACUGCGGUGAAUACGUUCCCGGGCCUUGUACACACCGCCCGUCACACCAUGGAAGUUGGCCACGCCCGAAGUCGUUACUCCAACCCGCAAGGGAGGAGGAUGCCGAAGGUGGGGCUGAUGACUGGGGUGAAGUCGUAACAAGGUA
rnacentral:rRNA from 1 species